rnacentral:rRNA from 1 species
AGCGAACGCUGGCGGCAGGCCUAACACAUGCAAGUCGAACGGAUCCUUCGGGAUUAGUGGCGGACGGGUGAGUAACACGUGGGAACGUGCCUUUUGGUUCGGAACAACUCAGGGAAACUUGUGCUAAUACCGAAUGUGCCCUUCGGGGGAAAGAUUUAUCGCCAUUAGAGCGGCCCGCGUCUGAUUAGCUAGUUGGUAGGGUAAAGGCCUACCAAGGCUACGAUCAGUAGCUGGUCUGAGAGGAUGAUCAGCCACAUUGGGACUGAGACA